UUGAUACCGGCCCAUGAACUGUCAAGGGGAGGACAUCAAGAGAGCUUCUAGGGAGGGCAUGGGCGAAGGCGUGCCAUGCUGUCGGUAUUCCCGGCCGGAAAGUCGAUGACCCAUACUUUAAAGCUGCGAUCGUGGAGACCCAGAAACAAGGUGUUGGAAUCAAAAUACCAUCAGGGAGGGAGAUAGAUGGAAAAUAUUUGGAUGAGAAUGUGAAGGAGAUAGAGAAAGAGAUAGAGAAGUGGAAGAACGAGUGGGAUGAAUGUGGAGUCACGAUCAUGUGUGAUUCGUGGACGGGGCCUAUGCGUAAUUUGGUCAUUAAUUUCUUGGUGUAUAGCGGUGGCACCAUGUAUUUCUUGAAGUCCAUCAAUGCGUCCGACAAAAUACAGGACCAUCAAUACUUGUUGAAGGAGAUACGAGCAGUGGUCAUGAAAGUGGAGCCUCACAAUGUGGUUCAGCUUGUCACGGAUAAUGGUUCGAACUACAAAAAAGCCUGCAAAAUUCUCUGUCACGAGUUCCCUACCAUUGCAUGGCAGCCUUGCCUUGCCCAUACCAUCAACCUUAUGCUGAAGGACAUAGGGAAGUGGCCGGAGCAUGAUGCUUGUAUUCGAAGCGCGCAACGAAUUUGCAGCUGGCUCUACAACUCCAACAGUUUACACAGCAUGAUGAGGGAAGCCAUCGGUGGAGAGUUGGUCAAGUGGAAUGUAACAAGAUUUGGGACCAACUACAUGUUCCUUGAAAGCAUGUAUAAGAAGAAGGACCAGUUCAUGACAUGGUUAGUGUCACCUGAGUUCCGACGGUCCCGCCACUUCAAAAGUGAAACUGGAAGGUACAUUUAUGAAUGCAUCACAA